rnacentral:rRNA from 1 species
CGGGGCAACCUGGCGGCGAGCGGCGAACGGGUGAGUAAUGCAUCGGAACAUGUCCAUGUCGUGGGGGAUAGCCCGGCGAAAGCCGGAUUAAUACCGCAUACGCCCGAGAGGGGAAAGUGGGGGACCGCAAGGCCUCACGCGAUUGGGUUGGCCGAUGUCCGAUUAGCUAGUUGGCGGGGUAAGAGCCCACCAAGGCGAUGAUCGGUAGCUGGUCUGAGAGGAUGAUCAGCCACACUGGGACUGAGACACGGCCCAGACUCCUACGGGAGGCAGCAGUGGGGAAUUUUGGACAAUGGGGGCAACCCUGAUCCAGCCAUUCCGCGUGAGUGAAGAAGGCCUUCGGGUUGUAAAGCUCUUUUGUCCGGAACGAAACGGUGAGCGUGAAUAUCGCUCGCUACUGACGGUACCGGAAGAAUAAGCACCGGCU